AUGUGCAUCUUUAUGUUCCUAGCUCUUAAAAUUCAAUUCAAGCGUGAUUUUUUUAAUUCUUUGAUACCCUCUGAUCAUAUAUUAUUCCGGCUCUGUCCAUCAAAGCUUAUGAAUGCAAGCCAACAUGUUCCUGAAUAUAUGUCCUGCAACCAGUGGACAUCUGAACAGACGAAGAAGGCAUAUGGGUGUGCAACACUGAAGAAAACAGAACAUUUUCAUAACAUCUCAGAGGAGUAAAAUGGUUUGAAGAAACAGAAACAUAAUCUGUCAAUGGAGUGGAGCCAGUGACCACUGGAAGAGACCAUUGGUAGAGAAAAGAAUCUGGUAAAGAAGCUCUGAUAUAGAA
rnacentral:lncRNA from 1 species